rnacentral:rRNA from 1 species
AUUGAACGCUGGCGGCAGGCUUAACACAUGCAAGUCGAGCGGCAGAACGGAGUUUGCCCUUGCAGUGAGUGGCGGACGGGUGAGUAAUGCCUAGGAACCUGCCCGGUAGUGGGGGAUAACGUCCCGAAAGCGGCGCUAAUACCGCAUACGUCCUGAGGGUGAAAGCGGGGGACCGUAAGACCUCACGCUAUUAGAGGGGCCUAUGUCGGAUUAGCUAGUUGGUGGGGUAAAGGCCUACCAAGGCGACGAUCCGUAGCUGGUCUGAGAGGAUGAUCAGCCACACUGGAACUGAGACACGGUCCAGACUCCUACGGGAGGCAGCAGUGGGGAAUAUUGGACAAUGGGCGCAAGCCUGAUCCAGCCAUGCCGCGUGUGUGAAGAAGGUCUUCGGAUUGUAAAGCACUUUUGGUUGGGAAGAAGGGCAGUAAGUUAAUACCUUGCUGUUUUGACGUUACCAGCAGAAUAAGCACCGGCUAACUUCGUG